AUUGAACUCUGGCGGCAGGCCUAACACAUGCAAGUCGAGCGCGCGGCGGACGGGUGAGUAAUGUAUGUGGACUGCCCGUUAUAGGGGGUUAACUACUGGAAACGGUAGCUAAUCCCGCAUAUUAUCGGAUAACCCAUAUGGGAUUAGCUAGUAGGUGAGGUAAUGGCUCACCGAGGCGACGAUCCCUAGCUGGUCUGAGAGGAUGAUCAGCCACACUGGGACUGAGACACGGCCCAGACUCCUACGGAGGCAGCAGUGGGGAAUAUUGCACAAUGGGCUCAAGCCUGAUGCAGCCAUGCCGCGUGUAUGAAGAAGGCCCUAGGGUUGUAAAGUACUUUCAGUCGGGAGGCGUUACCGACAGAAGAAGCACCGGCUAACUCCGUGCCAGCCGCCGCGGUAAUUC
rnacentral:rRNA from 1 species